UCCAACACCUCUCAUAUCAAAGGUCAAAACUUUAUACCCUUUUCUUGAUAACCCACUUGCUAUUCCUCUCAAUAGACUCUGACAACCACCUAAUAUUGAAUAUGGAUGAACUAAAACCACAACCCAUGAGCUAUUUUUGCUUAUUUCUUCCCCUAAUCCUUCUUCUUCUUCAUUUUCAUAUGGGUUUGGUUUGAAAAUUGUGGUAUGGAG
rnacentral:misc_RNA from 1 species